AACGAACGCUGGCGGCAUGCCUAACACAUGCAAGUCGAACGAGACCUUCGGGUCUAGUGGCGCACGGGUGCGUAACGCGUGGGAACCUGCCCUUAGGUUCGGAAUAACUCCCCGACAGGGGUGCUAAUACCGGAUAAUGUCUUCGGACCAAAGAUUUAUCGCCUUUGGAUGGGCCCGCGUUGGAUUAGCUAGUUGGUAGGGUAAAAGCCUACCAAGGCGACGAUCCAUAGCUGGUCUGAGAGGAUGAUCAGCCACACUGGGACUGAGACACGGCCCAGACUCCUACGGGAGGCAGCAGUGGGGAAUAUUGGACAAUGGGCGAAAGCCUGAUCCAGCAAUGCCGCGUGAGUGAUGAAGGCCUUAGGGUUGUAAAGCUCUUUUACCCGGGAUGAUAAUGACAGUACCGAGAGAAUAAGCCCCGGCUAACUCCGUG
rnacentral:rRNA from 1 species